UGUCUCCUCUAUGUCUCCUCCUUUGAUAUAGAUUCAGCCCGCCUCCUUUGAGCGGGCUUUUUUUU
rnacentral:ncRNA from 1 species